UACGUAGGGCGCAAGCGUUGUCCGGAAUUAUUGGGCGUAAAGGGCGCGUAGGCGGCGUGACAAGUCACUUGUGAAAUCUCCGGGCUUAACCCGGAGCGGUCAAGUGAUACUGUCGUGCUAGAGUGCGGAAGGGGCUACUGGAAUUCUCGGUGUAGCGGUGAAAUGCGUAGAUAUCGAGAGGAACACCUGCGGCGAAGGCGGGUAGCUGGGCCGACACUGACGCUGAUGCGCGAAAGCCAGGGGAGCGAACGGG
rnacentral:rRNA from 1 species